rnacentral:rRNA from 1 species
GGGAGCUCUCCCAUAUGGUCGACCUGCAGGCGGCCGCGAAUUCACUAGUGAUUAGAGUUUGAUCAUGGCUCAGAACGAACGCUGGCGGCAUGCCUAACACAUGCAAGUCGAACGAAGGCUUCGGCCGGCGCACGGGUGCGUAACGCGUGGGAAUCUGGUUCGGAAUAACAGUUAGAAAUGACUGCUAAUACCGGAUGACGACGUAAGUCCAAAGAUUUAUCGCCGAGGGAUGAGCCCGCGUAGGAUUAGCUAGUUGGUGUGGUAAAGGCGCACCAAGGCGACGAUCCUUAGCUGGUCUGAGAGGAUGAUCAGCCACACUGGGACUGAGACACGGCCCAGACUCCUACGGGAGGCAGCAGUGGGGAAUAUUGGACAAUGGGCGAAAGCCUGAUCCAGAAUGCCGGAGUGAUGAAGCCUUAGGGUUGGAAGCUCUCCGGGAUGAUAGACAGUACCGGGAGAAUAAGCUCCGGCUAACUCCGUGCCAGCAGCCGCGGUAAUACGAAUCGAAUUCCCGCGGCCGCCAUGGCGGCCGGGAGCAUGCGAC